AUGGAAAAGUCAGAGGAUGGAGGAAAGGCAUCACAGGGAUUCAACGCAGAAGGGGCUAGUGAAUUGCUAGAUCGGUUGGCUUUGCAAGAUGACGAGCUUGACGAUCUGGUCUGGGAGGAUGAAGUUGAUUCGGAGGAAGUGAGACCAAAGUGGCUGGCCCUCGGGCGGCUCCUGACAACGUAAUCCUUCAGCCAAAGCGCGCUCAUUGGAGAUAUGAGAGCUGCGUGGAAUCUGGCACAACAGGUAGUAUGGAGGAGGAUAAACCCUAAUCUAUUCUCGAUUCAGUUCAAUUGUCUGGGUGAUUGGAACAAAGCCAUGCACAAGGGUCCAUGGGACUUCAAAGGUUAUGCACUAAUCCUCGCUGUGUAUGAUGGCUUUUCUAAGCCUGAAAAGAUUAAGCUAGAUAGGCUGGAAACAUGGGCGCGGAUCCAUAAACUCCUUGAUGGGAUUCUAAAGAAUGAGAACUUUCUGAGAAACUUGGCAAGGCGUAUCGGCGAGGUCUAG
rnacentral:rRNA from 1 species